GUAAGGCAAGGGGCUAAGGUCAUUGGAAACCAUUGGGUGACCGAAGCAGCAGUUUUACGUGCGUACUACUCUGUAUACCAUGAGUAUUAUUAAGAUGGUCUAACCGCCUCAGACACCGCACUAAACACUCUCCGGGGAAGCGUCAAAGAGCAAACAAUAAGUAGAAAAUUCGAAAGGAACGCCGAGGCGUGUCGUUUGCGGGUGUAAUUCGUAAUAAAGAAGCUGCUCCAGCAAAAUCUCCAUUGUAUAAACACCCGUUAUAUGAUCAUUCUGUUAUUUUGACGUCUUGUUGUAUGAACGACAUAAUUACGAACGAAGACGUAAAUAAAAUUCAUGAAAGGUUAAAUUUAAAGAACCGUGAUAAUACGGUGGGAAAUACCUGGUUGAACGUGAAAAACAAAGCACUGAAGCAUGAAGCACUAAAAUUUGCUUCAUGAGACAAUAGAAGAAAAAGAGGAAUUAGACUCAAGCGCAAAUGACAUAGGUGAAGUCAUUGCAAUAUUACAUGGAAUAUCAGGAUGCGACGUUUAUGAUGAGUCCAGCGUAACACAGCGAUUUGAUAAAACGCACAAUAAUCGAGCACAUUCUUCCAGAUGUUACUUUGCAAAAUCUGUCAAAUGAUGACUAAGAAAUGAAUAACCAACGUGCAACCAGUGAUAGCUGUAACGAAAAUGUACCACUUCAUUUCGAGCCAUUCACAAAUGUGAAGAGCUUAGAUGAUUCGAAACCUAGAGGAAAUGUCAUUUAACUGGCAAGAAAAUUUUGAAUCCGUAGGUUUGAUUUCUUUAAUUUCGUAAAGCAGUGAUUUACAAAUAAAUCGUAUACAUUUUAAUUCAUUUUAUCUUAAAUGUUAAAUCAAAUUGUGUGCUAAUCGCUUGUUAUGUGAAAAUUUUUAUUAUGUUAUUUUAGAAUCAUUCUAAGUUGUCUGAAAGGUUUUCAGAGUUGAUCGAGCAGGUUAUGAAUUAGUCUGUAAAUGGUCUGGAUUUAGAAUAGAAGGGUGUACAAAAUCUACAAAAAUAUGUCUGGCAGAUAGGAUUUGUAUCUAUUAUAACAGUUUCAAAUAUAGUGCUAUCGGAAAUUUUAACAUUAUACUGAAUAAAUUGCACAUUAUAUUACAUAUUCAUUGUUAGCAUUCCAUUUUCAUUAAAUUAUUCUAAAUUAAAUGAAAUGGACGGUUUUAGACAAAUAUUCAAACGUCGAAUGAAAUAUAUUGCCGCCUGUAGGUACUUUAUCUCAAAUCCGG
rnacentral:misc_RNA from 1 species